UAUUGAACGCCUGGGACAAAAGAAGAUAUUAGCAGAAUAAUAUAUACGAGUAACAGCAACAAGCUCAACAACAAGUAUACAGGAGUACCCGAGCACACCGAUCAACGCGGGGCGCGGCUGUCUCAGAAGUAAGAACUUUCGCGAUGGUGGUAGGUGUACAAGAGUUAUGCGCUGACAAGAUGACGCAGCAAUUCAAAGGCAUUCAAGAACUUGGAAAGGGUUACACUCGAUACAUGUAAAUACGAACAGUUUGUGGGAACCCACACACUUUGUGACAAACAAUCGUU